rnacentral:rRNA from 1 species
AUGAUGGCCAGGCUGUCUCCACCCGAGACUCAGUGAAAUUGAACUCGCUGUGAAGAUGCAGUGUACCCGCGGCAAGACGGAAAGACCCCGUGAACCUUUACUAUAGCUUGACACUGAACAUUGAGCCUUGAUGUGUAGGAUAGGUGGGAGGCUUUGAAGUGUGGACGCCAGUCUGCAUGGAGCCGACCUUGAAAUACCACCCUUUAAUGUUUGAUGUUCUAACGUGGACCCGUUACCCGGGUUGCGGACAGUGUCUGGUGGGUAGUUUGACUGGGGCGGUCUCCUCCUAAAGAGUAACGGAGGAGCACGAAGGUUGGCUAAUCCUGGUCGGACAUCAGGAGGUUAGUGCAAUGGCAUAAGCCAGCUUGACUGCGAGCGUGACGGCGCGAGCAGGUGCGAAAGCAGGUCAUAG